CUUACGAGGUGGAGGGGCUACAGCGCUCGGGGAAAUGUCGUUCCCCCCGGCGGUGCCGGUUGUGGGGCUCCCUCGAGCGCGACGCCGCUCUGAGGGGACUUGCCGCCCUUCCCCGAGUCUGUUCCUGCCGCUGGCGCUUGAAGGUGCGCGCCUUGUCCCUCCCUGAGGGCAGCAGCGCUCAUGGUGGGCAGCUGGCGCUGGGGUGGAGGCUCGAGGCCUGGGCCCGAGCGGAAAGGUCUUACUCCAUUUUCAACGUUAUAAUGGCCGAAAAUUGCUGCGAACAUAACCCCCGCGGACAUGUAAUUUUCUUUCCAACAGGCUGACGGCAUAACGUUAAUUACACGCAACGCGUUUGCUUUUCAGCCGUCGGUGUGGAGGCCGUUGGGAUCCGGCUGUUGCUCAGGUGAAGUCCCGCUGCGGGUAGGGUGAGGCCUACCUGCGUUUCCAGAACUGCAGAGAUCAAGCUCCAGAGACUGUCAUCAAACACUCACCGUUCUUGUCAAGAAUAAUGGAUUCGCACCAAAAAAAACAAGAGAAAGAAAAACAAAUUCAGUUUUCCAUCUCCAUUCAGGACCAAUACAGAUUAUUUUGUCCGUCUACACCCUUGGAGUGCUGUGAGCAGAAUAACGUUUAUCAGCGGGCACUGCAGGUGUGCGAAUUUCCAACACACUUUCCCACUUCCCUUUCCUCUUUUAUUAUUGUGAUCAAAAUUGUUUUUCUCAGGCAAAGUUUUCCCUUUAUUACUUUGUGUGUGCUGAGGGAAGAAUUUGGAGCGGCGGGGGGAAUCCAGGUUAUCUUUAAUCUGAAUCUUUGUCCUUACGUUAUAGCAACUCCACUUCAUAAGGACUUUGUAAUGUUUGGUUUCAUUUCCACUGGCAAGUCCAUCUUAGCUUGACCUUUGGCAGUUCUCACUUUCUGACCUCCAAGAUGAAGCUUUCUUGGCUGAUCGAGCCGUCCACAGAGAUGACAAAAAGUCUAUCGCUUCUACUGCCAUCAGCCGGGGAGACAUGCAUUUUUGGAGCCAAAAAGCAGGGUUCUCCUCCAUGCUGUUUGGGUGUGUGAGGGAUUUACUGCAUCUAUUUGCCAAACAUGGGUUUGUUAGGAGGGUGUAUGAGGCAGAAUAAGAAAAAUGGCUGGAACAACCCGCAACCUAUGGAGGAAAAU
rnacentral:lncRNA from 1 species